GCCUGGCUGGUUCAGUCAGUAGAGCGUGUGGCUCUGGAUCUCAGGGUCGUGAGUUCAAGCCCCACGCUGGGCA